rnacentral:lncRNA from 1 species
CAGAAGACCAGUGAGAGGCCAAAGAGGAAAGAAAGUAGGGGGGGGAAAGGGGCUAGAGGAAGUGGACACUUGGCGUAGGGGAGUGAAUAUCUGGGACUGAACCAUUACUGAGCGUUCUGACGCAGCAGCGGAAACUGAGAGCAGUGGUAGCCCUUGAUGAGACGGCUUUGACUGGCCAGGCUGAGAUUCUUUGACCGAUGUGAAAGACGCAAUGCGAAAUGAAGUAUCGCUAAGAAAAGGCUACGCUGACACUGGGGAACGUCUCUUUCUGCAGGCCAGACACGUGGACAUGUGGCCGUAGUCCGUGGAUGCCUUUGAGGAGCCUCCUACCCGGCAUUCACCGUCAGGCUGAAACGCAGCACUGGGGAGCAACCAAAAUGCUCAUUUCAAGUUUUUAUCACUGCCAUGAAGGGUAAAAAGUGUUUGGAUCCAGGUUUAUGGCCUUGUGUGGGUGUCAUGCUUCUAAGCUCCUGCCUGUCCUUGGAGAAAGGGACUGUAAAACUGCACUGACAGGUACGGCUGGUUGGAAGGAAGAAAGCCGCAGCCAGUCGUGGCGGCGCUGCGAGAGGCUGAAGAGGGCUGACGAGUGUCAUCACCAGCUGGAGCCAGGCCAACGCGCAAAGUGCAAGGCAGCACGGGGAACGGCAGCAAGCGGCCUGGGGCGUGCGAGCUAUUUUGAAGACAGCUGCCAUAAUUUUACAUGCACUUCCAGCAUCAGCUGUUGAUCUAAUCGGCUUUGGAAGGCCAGCUCUCCUCGUGACAGCUCUGAGGAAUACAGACACAUGGCAGAAGUGGCAGUGAUGUUUCAACAAGCGACACCCUUUCCUCAGUCAGCAUGAAGAAAAUGCCAGGGAAGUGAGAGAGACACCACCUUUAAAUAAGACUUAAAACCUGAACCCCCUUAAAACUGAGACACACUCUGCAGUGUACACACAAUGAAUAUGUGUAUGCAGUGAUACAUGCAUGGCUGAUGUGCAGAUGUCAAGGAAUCCUGAAUCUCAGUGGGGAGAUGCAGAGACCUUCUGGCAGUUUACAAUACUGCAUGAGGUUCAUAAAUGCUAUUGGGUAUUUGUGCAUUGCACAAACUAGUUUUAAAUAAAGUAAUUCAGAUAGUGUAAACA